AAGUCGUAACAAGGUUUCCGUAGGUGAACCUGCGGAAGGAUCAUUAACACGUAUCCAACGUUAAACCCCCCGUGCACACAGCGGGGUAGGGUAUUAAAGUAGUAGUCCAUGCAAAGCAACCUGGUUUCUUUGAAGCAGAAAGUGUGAUGGCGUGAGCCGGAGAACGGACCGAGUGGUAGUUCAAAGGUGCCUUCUGUCGCGCACUGUGGAAAGGUAACAAUGGAUAUCUUGGUUCUC
rnacentral:misc_RNA from 1 species